rnacentral:rRNA from 1 species
UACGUAGGGUGCGAGCGUUGUCCGGAAUUACUGGGCGUAAAGAGCUCGUAGGUGGUUUGUCGCGUUGUUCGUGAAAACUCACAGCUCAACUGUGGGCGUGCGGGCGAUACGGGCAGACUGGAGUACUGCAGGGGAGACUGGAAUUCCUGGUGUAGCGGUGAAAUGCGCAGAUAUCAGGAGGAACACCGGUGGCGAAGGCGGGUCUCUGGGCCGAUACUGACGCUGAGGAGCGAAAGCGUGGGGGAGCGAACAGG